AUUGAACGCUGGCGGCAGGCCUAACACAUGCAAGUCGAGCGGAUGAAGGGAGCUUGCUCCUGGAUUCAGCGGCGGACGGGUGAGUAAUGCCUAGGAAUCUGCCUGGUAGUGGGGGAUAACGUCCGGAAACGGGCGCUAAUACCGCAUACGUCCUGAGGGAGAAAGUGGGGGAUCUUCGGACCUCACGCUAUCAGAUGAGCCUAGGUCGGAUUAGCUAGUUGGUGGGGUAAAGGCCUACCAAGGCGACGAUCCGUAACUGGUCUGAGAGGAUGAUCAGUCACACUGGAACUGAGACACGGUCCAGACUCCUACGGGAGGCAGCAGUGGGGAAUAUUGACAAUGGGCGAAAGCCUGAUCCAGCCAUGCCGCGUGUGUGAAGAAGGUCUUCGGAUUGUAAAGCACUUUAAGUUGGGAGGAAGGGCAGUAAGUUAAUACCUUGCUGUUUUGACGUUACCAACAGAAUAAGCACCGGCUAACUUCGUG
rnacentral:rRNA from 1 species